AAUCAACGCUGGCGGCGUGCCUCAGACAUGCAAGUCGAACGAUUAAAGCUCUCUUCGGAGAGUGUAUAGAGUGGCGCACGGGUGAGUAACACGUAAGUAAUCUACCCUCGAGUGGGGAAUAACGUCCGGAAACGGACGCUAAUACCGCAUAAUGCAGCGGCACCGCAAGGUGACAGUUGUUAAAGGAGAAAUUCGCUUGAGGAGGAGCUUGCGGCAGAUUAGCUUGUUGGUAAGGUAACGGCUUACCAAGGCUACGAUCUGUAACCGGUCUUAGAGGACGGUCGGUCACACUGACACUGAAUAACGGGUCAGACUCCUACGGGAGGCAGCAGUCGGGAAUUUUGGGCAAUGGGCGAAAGCCUGACCCAGCAACGCCGCGUGAAGGAUGAAGUAUUUCGGUAUGUAAACUUCGAAAGAAUAGGAAGAAUAAAUGACGGUACUAUUUAUAAGGUCCGGCUAACUACGUG
rnacentral:rRNA from 1 species